UACGUAGGGGCCAAGCGUUGUCCGGAAUCAUUGGGCGUAAAGAGCGUGUAGGCGGCUUGUUAAGUCUUGCGUGAAAUCUCGGGGCUCAACCCCGAGCGGUCGUGAGAAACUGGCAGGCUAGAGUGCGGGAGAGGAGAGUGGAAUUCCUGGUGUAGCGGUGAAAUGCGCAGAUAUCAGGAAGAACACCCGUGGCGAAGGCGGCUCUCUGGACCGCAACUGACGCUGAGACGCGAAAGCGUGGGGAGCAAACAGG
rnacentral:rRNA from 1 species